GACGAACGCUGGUGGCGUGCUUAACACAUGCAAGUCGAGCGGUAAGGCUCCUUCGGGAGUACACGAGCGGCGAACGGGUGAGUAACACGUGAGUAAUCUGCCCUUCACUUCGGGAUAACCACCGGAAACGGUGGCUAAUACCGAAUACGACCAGUCUUCGCAUGAGGUGCUGGUGGAAAGUCUUUUCGGUGAAGGAUGUGCUCGCGGCCUAUCAGCUUGUUGGUGGGGUAAUGGCCUACCAAGGCUUCGACGGGUAGCCGGCCUGAGAGGGUGACCGGCCACACUGGGACUGAGACACGGCCCAGACUCCUACGGGAGGCAGCAGUGGGGAAUAUUGGACAAUGGGCGAAAGCCUGAUCCAGCAACGCCGCGUGAGGGAUGACGGCCUUCGGGUUGUAAACCUCUUUCAGUACCGACGAAGCGCCCUGUCGGGUGGUGACGGUAGGUACAGAAGAAGGACCGGCCAACUACGUG
rnacentral:rRNA from 1 species